UAGCCUAAAGGUUAAGGCUAUGGAUCGCCAAUCCGGAGACGGCGGGUUCGAUUCCCGU
rfam:Aedes albopictus isolate Foshan contig49905, whole genome shotgun sequence.